GUGCUCUUCAGUUGUGUAAAAGCAUUUCGACAAAGGUUCCUCGAUUCAGACUUUGAUCAUAACAACAGUACGGAAAUUGGACUGGCGAAGAUAUGGCAUCAAAACUAAAACUUGUCGCUGUUCUCAUCUCUCUUGUUAUGCAUGUCAUCGCAUCCAAUGCAUUCACUGAAGAUGGCACAUCGAUUAACGUCCUACUCGAUGAAGGAUAUGAUAAUUGUAUGAAGGCAAAAGCAAACAACGCUUUUUGCAAGGUUAUAGAGAAUCUAGCUGAAUUCUUAGACGGAAAAUCACGGG